rnacentral:rRNA from 1 species
AGUGAACGCUGGCGGUAGGCCUAACACAUGCAAGUCGAACGGCAGCACAGUAAGAGCUUGCUCUUACGGGUGGCGAGUGGCGGACGGGUGAGGAAUACAUCGGAAUCUACUUUUUCGUGGGGGAUAACGUAGGGAAACUUACGCUAAUACCGCAUACGACCUACGGGUGAAAGCAGGGGAUCUUCGGACCUUUCGCGAUUGAAUGAGCCGAUGUCGGAUUAGCUAGUUGGCGGGGUAAAGGCCCACCAAGGCGACGAUCCGUAGCUGGUCUGAGAGGAUGAUCAGCCACACUGGAACUGAGACACGGUCCAGACUCCUACGGGAGGCAGCAGUAGGGAAUAUUCGACAAUGGGCGCAAGCCUGACCCAGCAAUACCGCGUGAGUGAAGAAGGCCUUCGGGUCGUAAAGCCCUGUUAUUGGGAAAGAAAAGCUGUAGACUAAUCCACGGCUGUUCUGACGGUACCCAAUCAAUAAGCAACGGCUAACUUCGUG